GAUCACUUUUAUCGGUUCCGGUCCCUCUGCAAAAAAGUGGACUGGAAGCAUUUAAGUGAUAGU
rnacentral:pre_miRNA from 1 species